rnacentral:rRNA from 1 species
AGUGAACGCUGGCGGUAGGCCUAACACAUGCAAGUCCAACGGCAGCACAGUAAGAGCUUGCUCCUACGGGUGGCGAGUGGCGGACGGGUGAGGAAUACAUCGGAAUCUACUUUUUCGUGGGGGAUAACGUAGGGAAACUUACGCUAAUACCGCAUACGACCUACGGGUGAAAGCAGGGGAUCUUCGGACCUUGCGCGAUUGAAUGAGCCGAUGUCGGAUUAGCUAGUUGGCGGGGUAAAGGCCCACCAAGGCGACGAUCCGUAGCUGGUCUGAGAGGAUGAUCAGCCACACUGGAACUGAGACACGGUCCAGACUCCUACGGGAGGCAGCAGUGGGGAAUAUUGGACAAUGGGCGCAAGCCUGAUCCAGCCAUACCGCGUGGGUGAAGAAGGCCUUCGGGUUGUAAAGCCCUUUUGUUGGGAAAGAAAAGCAGCAGGUUAAUACCCCGCUGUUCUGACGGUACCCAAAGAAUAAGCACCGGCUAACUUCGUG